rnacentral:rRNA from 1 species
UACGAAGGGGACUAGCGUUGUUCGGAUUUACUGGGCGUAAAGAACGUGUAGGCGGCCAGGUAGGUCUGCUGUGAAAACUCGAGGCUUAACCUCGAGCUGUCGGCGGAAACCAUCUGGCUAGAGUCCGGAAGAGGAGAAUGGAAUUCCCGGUGUAGCGGUGAAAUGCGCAGAUAUCGGGAAGAACACCCGUGGCGAAGGCGGUUCUCUGGGACGGUACUGACGCUGAGACGCGAAAGCGUGGGGAGCGAACAGG